rnacentral:rRNA from 1 species
GACAGAGGUGCCGAGCGUUAGGCGGAAUCACUGGGCUUAAAGCGUGUGUAGGCGGGCGAUCAAGUACCUUGUGAAAUCCCACGGCUCGACCGUGGAACCGCUGGGUAUACUGGUUGUCUUGAGCCGGCUAGGGGCGAGCGGAACAGACGGUGGAGCGGUGAAAUGCGUAGAUAUCGUCUGGAACGCCGAAGGUGAAAACAGCUCGCUGGGGCCGCGCUGACGCUGAGACACGAAAGCCAGGGGAGCGAACGGG